ACGAACGCUGGCGGCGUGCUUCACACAUGCAAGUCGAACGGAAAGGCCCUGCUUUUGUGGGGUGCUCGAGUGGCGAACGGGUGAGUAACACGUGAGUAACCUGCCCUUGACUUUGGGAUAACUUCAGGAAACUGGGGCUAAUACCGGAUAGGAGCUCCUGCUGCAUGGUGGGGGUUGGAAAGUUUCGGCGGUUGGGGAUGGACUCGCGGCUUAUCAGCUUGUUGGUGGGGUAGUGGCUUACCAAGGCUUUGACGGGUAGCCGGCCUGAGAGGGUGACCGGCCACAUUGGGACUGAGAUACGGCCCAGACGGCUACGGGAGGCAGCAGUGGGGAAUAUGGCACAAUGGGCGGAAGCCUGAGGCAGCGACGCCGCGUGCGGGAUGACGGCCUUCGGGUUGUAAACCGCUUUCGCCUGUGACGAAGCGUGAGUGACGGUAAUGGGUAAAGAAGCACCGGCUAACUACGUG
rnacentral:rRNA from 1 species